GUCUGCUUGGGCAUCUAUCUCCCUAACAUUAUCAAGACAUAACCUAAUGCCGAGAACCUUUUAGCUGAUGAAGUUAGUGUCCCAACUUCAUUAAGAACUUGAGGAACUAUUUUUCUUUUGUUGGGUAUGUAGAAGUCCAACUCCCCUGCUCUUUCUGUUCUCAUUAUCUGGUUAUUAAUUUCUUAAAUUGUGAUGCAUCUGACUUUUGGCUGUUAAGAAACAUUUAAUGCAGUUAAUGCUGAAGUUGUAGCUGCUUUCUACAGGCAAUUCCACCUUUAUUGCUAAAGCUAUUGGCUGAAGCUUUUCGGACCACUUUGAGGGAUUGCCGCCUCUUGAGCCUGGGUAUCGAAAACCUGUGAGGGCAAAGUCAAGCUGAUAGGAUGACUGUGGCCAAAUGGAGUUGUGGUGGUUUGGAUAGUUUGUAGUUUGCUUUCAUAUUAGGUCAGCAAAUUGAUAAGGUCUCUGAGCUCAAGAGGCGAGUAAAGUCGACUAUUUGAAUCCUUAUUGUCCAUGUCUCUUGAUUUAACCCCGUCUUACUCUGAUAUUAUGUUCAAGAAUUUGUUGUAAUGCUUUACUAAUGAGUUGAAAAUUGGAUACUGAAGCCAA